rnacentral:rRNA from 1 species
GUGCACGCUGGCGGUAGGCCUAACACAUGCAAGUCGCACGGCAGCACAGUAAGAGCUUGCUCUUACGGGUGGCGAGUGGCGGACGGGUGAGGAAUACAUCGGAAUCUACUUUUUCGUGGGGGAUAACGUAGGGAAACUUACGCUAAUACCGCAUACGACCUACGGGUGAAAGCAGGGGAUCUUCGGACCUUUCGCGAUUGAAUGAGCCGAUGUCGGAUUAGCUAGUUGGCGGGGUAAAGGCCCACCAAGGCGACGAUCCGUAGCUGGUCUGAGAGGAUGAUCAGCCACACUGGAACUGAGACACGGUCCAGACUCCUACGGGAGGCAGCAGUGGGGAAUAUUGGACAAUGGGCGCAAGCCUGAUCCAGCCAUACCGCGUGGGUGAAGAAGGCCUUCGGGCUGUAAAGCCCUUUUGUUGGGAAAGAAAAGCAGCAGGUUAAUACCCCGCUGUUCUGACGGUACCCAAAGAAUAAGCACCGGCUAACUUCGUG